rnacentral:rRNA from 1 species
UACGUAGGCAGCGAGCGUUGUUCGGAAUUACUGGGCGUAAAGAGUGUGUAGGCGGUGCUCUAAGUUCGGUGUGAAAUCUCCUGCUUAACUGGGAGGGUGCGCCGGAAACUGGAGUGCUCGAGCGUGGGAGAGGAAAGCGGAAUUCCUGGUGUAGCGGUGAAAUGCGUAGAUAUCAGGAGGAACACCUGUGGUGUAGACGCUUUCUGGACCAUAGCUGACGCUGAGACACGAAAGCGUGGGUAGCAAACAGG